UAGGGAAUCUUCGGCAAUGGACGAAAGUCUGACCGAGCAACGCCGCGUGAGUGAAGAAGGUUUUCGGAUCGUAAAACUCUGUUGGUAGAGAAGAACGCUGGUGAGAGUGGAAAGCUCAUCAAGUGACGGUAACUACCCAGAAAGGGACGGCUAACUACGUGCCAG
rnacentral:rRNA from 1 species